rnacentral:lncRNA from 1 species
CUCAGCUCUGCGGCUUCCUGUGGAGGAAGCGCUGGUUGGGGCGCUGGGCAAAGCAGCUCUUCGUGGUGCGGGAGCGCACGCUGCUGGGCUUCAGGUGUGCGGCCGACCUGCAGCCGGUGCUGCGGCUGGGCCCGCGGGGGCGGCGCGGUUUCAAGGAGAAGCGAGGCCGGAGGCUGCAGCACGCGCUGAAGGUGGUGGGGACGGCGGGCGAAGCGCUGCUCAUCGGCUUCCCCAGCAGGCAGCAGGCGGAGGACUGGAGGAAGGUUUGGAGGUGUUGCAGCCCCGCAGAGCUCAGUGCGGGGAGGUGGGGCGCAGCGCUGCCGGGCGCUGCCCUGCUGGUCGGGGAUGGAUAAAGCGGUGUCACCUUGGGGGUGUCGUCCGUCCCGGCUCACAUCCACACGUGCGUGGGGCUGCAACGUGGGGCUGCAGCGUGGGGCCGCAGUGCUCGCUUUCUCCCCUUUGCCAGGUGAUCGAGGAGGUCAGCAGCAAUUCCUCGAGUGGGCUGGCAGCCUGCAGCCCCCCAGCAUCGCCCUGCAGAGCAUUCAGCAGGACCUCCAACCCAAAGGAGGAGGAGGACGGCACCCGGCGGAGCCCCUCCCGCAGCCCCAGCUUGGACACCAAAGGAGGUGUGAUGCCCUGGGGGUCCCCAUGCUUUGUGCCCCCUGGCAGGGCUGUACCGACACAGGACGAUCCCGUAGGUUUGCUGGCUGUGCGGCUGCGCUGGCAGCGGCUGUGGUGCGCGGCACGGCGGGGAGCCCUGCGGAUGUUCCCCGAGUCGGGGGGCUCCCCGAGGCCCCCCCCCUGUGCUGUGCUGCAGGACGGCUCCCACAUCACCGCAUCCGGGUCCCCCCAACCCCUCUACGUCCCCCGCA